rnacentral:rRNA from 1 species
CUACCAUGCAGUCGACGAUGAUGGGAGCUUGCUCCUGGAUUAGUGGCGAACGGGUGAGUAACACGUGAGUAACCUGCCCUUAACUCUGGGAUAAGCCUGGGAAACUGGGUCUAAUACCGGAUAUGACUCCUCAUCGCAUGGUGGGGGGUGGAAAGCUUUUUGUGGUUUUGGAUGGCCUCGCGGCCUAUCAGCUUGUUGGUGAGGUAAUGGCUUACCAAGGCGACGACGGGUAGCCGGCCUGAGAGGGUGACCGGCCACACUGGGACUGAGACACGGCCCAGACUCCUACGGGAGGCAGCAGUGGGGAAUAUUGCACAAUGGGCGCAAGCCUGAUGCAGCGACGCCGCGUGAGGGAUGACGGCUUUCGGGUUGUAAACCUCUUUCAGUAUGGAAGAAGCGAAACUGACGGUACCUGCAGAAGAAGCGCCGGCUAACUACGUGCCA